rnacentral:rRNA from 1 species
CAGCAGCCGCGGGAAUACAGAGGGUGCGAGCGUUAAUCGGAUUUACUGGGCGUAAAGCGUGCGUAGGCGGCUUCUUAAGUCGGAUGUGAAAUCCCCGGGCUUAACCUGGGAACUGCAUUUGAAACUGGCAGGCUAGAGUCUUGUAGAGGGGGGUAGAAUUCCAGGUGUAGCGGUGAAAUGCGUAGAGAUCUGGAGGAAUACCGGUGGCGAAGGCGGCCCCCUGGACAAAGACUGACGCUCAGGUGCGAAAGCGUGGGGAGCAAACAGGAUUAGAGACCCCUGUAGUCCCUGUCUCUUAUAC